GGCCAUUGCAUCCAAUGAGCUCGAGUUGAAAUAGUAUAAUGCUUACAGCACCUGGUAUUCCCAGGCGGUCACCCAUCCAAGUACUAACCAGGCCCGACCCUGCUUAGCUUCCGAGAUCAGACGAGAUCGGGCGUGCCUUUUUUUUUUUUUUUUUUUUUAUCUUUUUUUAUUAUUUUCCAGUUCACACAUUUACAGCAACCGAUAACAGAGUAUUAUUUACAUACAUCAUCUCUGAGAAAAAAAACUUUUACACACCCAACUUAAUCCCCUUCCCUUAUCCUUCCCACAUCACUUAAUCCUAAUGAAGACAGCACAAAUGUUGCGCCAAAUCAGAAAAUACAGCUCAAUCUGCAUGCCCCAGUCUUUUCACCAGUUAAACAAAAUCUCCCCUCCCUCCCCUUCAAAGACUAAUUUACUCCCACUCAAAAAGAAAUGUUCCG
ensembl:lncRNA